UACGUAGGGUGCGAGCGUUGUCCGGAAUUAUUGGGCGUAAAGCGCGCGUAGGCGGUUACUCAAGUCGGAUGUGAAAGCCCUCGGCUUAACUGAGGAAGUGCACCCGAAACUGAGUAGCUAGAGUACUAAAGAGGGUCGCGGAAUUCCCGGUGUAGAGGUGAAAUUCGUAGAUAUCGGGAGGAACACCGGUGGCGAAGGCGGCGACCUGGGUAGAUACUGACGCUGAGGCGCGAAAGCAUGGGGAGCGAACAGG
rnacentral:rRNA from 1 species